rnacentral:rRNA from 1 species
UUCGGGACGCCGGCGAGUGGCGAACGGGUGAGUAACACGUGGAGACCUGCCCUGGGGUGGGGGAUAACAGCUAGAAAUGGCUGCUAAUACCGCAUACGCCUUACGAGGGAAAGAUUUAUUGCCCCAGGAGGGUUCCGCGUCGGAUUAGCUUGUUGGUGGGGUAACGGCCUACCAAGGCGACGAUCCGUAGCUGGUCUUAGAGGAUGAUCAGCCACACUGGGACUGAGACACGGCCCAGACUCCUACGGGAGGCAGCAGUGGGGAAUAUUGCGCAAUGGGGGAAACCCUGACGCAGCGAUGCCGCGUGGGUGAAUAAGGCCUUAGGGUUGUAAAGCCCUUUCAGUGGGAACGAUGAUGACGGUACCCUCAGAAGAAGCCCCGGCUAACUCCGUGCCAGCAGCCGCGGUAAUACGGAGGGGGCGAGCGUUGUUCGGAAUUAUUGGGCGUAAAGAGCGCGUAGGCGGCUUGUUAAG